GUGCUUGCUUUGGCAGCAUAUAUACUAAAAUUGGUACAAUACAGAGAAGAUUAUCAUGGCCCCUGUGCAAGAAUGACAUGCAACUUUGUGAAGUGUUUUAUAUUUUU
ensembl:snRNA U6 U6 spliceosomal RNA